rnacentral:rRNA from 1 species
AACGUAGGUUCCGAGCGUUAUCCGGAUUUACUGGGCGUAAAGCGCGUUCAGGCGGUUGGGCAAGUCGGGCAUGAAAUCUCUGGGCUCAACCUGGAGAGGUUGUCCGAUACUGCCGAACUGGAGGGCAGUAGAGGGUGGUGGAAUUCCGGGUGUAGUGGUGAAAUGCGCAGAUAUCAGGAGGAACACCGGUGGAGAAGGCGGGUCUCUGGGCCGAUACUGACGCUGAGGAGCGAAAGCGUGGGGAGCGAACAGG